UGUGUUAUAGCAUAAUGGCAUUGCAGUUGUUUGCAAAACUUUUUAUAUAGGUUCAAUUCCUAUUAACGCAA
rnacentral:tRNA from 1 species